UACGGGGGGGGCAAGCGUUGUUCGGAAUUACUGGGCGUAAAGGGUGCGUAGGUGGGCAGGUAAGUCAGUGGUGAAAUCUCCGGGCUUAACUCGGAAACUGCCAUUGAUACUAUCUUUCUUGAAUACCGUGGAGGUCAGCGGAAUAUGUCAUGUAGCGGUGAAAUGCUUAGAUAUGACAUAGAACACCAAUUGCGAAGGCAGCUGGCUACACGAAUAUUGACACUGAUGCACGAAAGCGUGGGGAUCAAACAGG
rnacentral:rRNA from 1 species